GGUCGGUUUGGCCGGAUUUCACACAGGUGUUGCAUGGCUGUCGUCAGCUCGUGUCGCGAGAUGUCGGGUUAAGUCCCGCAACGAGCGCAACCCUCAUCCUUAGUUACCAUCAGGUUAUGCUGGGGACUUUAAGGAAGCUGCCAGUGAUAAACUGGAGGAAGGUGGGGAUGAUGUCAAGUCAUCAUGGCGCUUAUGGAGUGGGCUACACACGUGCUACAAUGGUGAUUACAAUGGGCUGCAAGGUCGCAAGGCUGAGCUAAUCCUAAAAAAUCAUCUCAGUUCGGAUUGUUCUCUGCAACUCGAGAGCAUGAAGUUGGAAUCGCUAGUAAUCGUGGAUCAGCAUGCCACGGUGAGUACGUUCUCGGGUCUUGUACACACUGCCCGUCACGCCAUGGUAAUUGGUUUCACUCGAAGCU
rnacentral:rRNA from 1 species